rnacentral:rRNA from 1 species
AGCGAACGCUGGCGGCAGGCCUAACACAUGCAAGUCGAACGGAUCCUUCGGGAUUAGUGGCGGACGGGUGAGUAACACGUGGGAACGUGCCUUUUGGUUCGGAACAACUCAGGGAAACUUGAGCUAAUACCGGAUAAGCCCUUCGGGGGAAAGAUUUAUCGCCAUUAGAGCGGCCCGCGUAGGAUUAGCUAGUUGGUGGGGUAAAGGCCCACCAAGGCUACGAUCCGUAGCUGGUCUGAGAGGAUGAUCAGCCACAUUGGGACUGAGACACGGCCCAAACUCCUACGGGAGGCAGCAGUGGGGAAUCUUGCGCAAUGGGCGAAAGCCUGACGCAGCCAUGCCGCGUGAAUGAUGAAGGUCUUAGGAUUGUAAAAUUCUUUCACCGGGGACGAUAAUGACGGUACCCGGAGAAGAAGCCCCGGCUAACUUCGUGCCAGCAGCCGCAGUAA